UACAGAGGGGGCAAGCGUUAUUCGGAAUUAUUGGGCGUAAAGGGCGCGUAGGCGGCCUUUCAAGUGACGGGUGAAAGCCCUCGGCUUAACCGAGGAACUGCCUGUCAGACUGGAAGGCUUGAGACCGGGAGAGGUGAGUGGAAUUCCCAGUGUAGCGGUGAAAUGCGUAGAUAUCUGGAGGAAUACCGGUGGCGAAGGCGGCAUCCUGGACCGAGAUUGACACUGAUGAGCGAAAGCUAGGGGAGCAAACGGG
rnacentral:rRNA from 1 species